rnacentral:lncRNA from 1 species
CAACCUGCGCAAAACUUUUUGACAUGUUCUUGAUGAACUCUGUCUGCAAUGCAGCAGAAGCGGGCUUAUGUUCGUUUUCUCCUCCUCCUGCAGAUGGUAAGUUUGGCUGUCUUCUUGCCUUCCGUUCUUGGAUUAUUUUCUCCCUCUCUUCAUAAAACCCAAAAUCAUCCAAGAUUGAAGUCUCAGCAUCGUAGUUCUUGAAAAUCUUCAGCAUCUCUAUGCCUUGUUCCAGUUUCACCUGUAGUUUUUUUAUUUAAAUGAUGUAUCUUAUGAACACGAAAGCUUGAGAGGCUUUUGCUACUUACUUCUUGAGUGUCUCGACUAUUAGUCACGGGCUUAUUGUCAUUGUUCUCCAAUAUAAUGUGGCGGAACUGGCUGUUUGGAACAUCUUUGAUGAUGUGCCACUUCACUGGGAACUGUCCAUUCCACUUGUCUUGUUGCCAGUAAUCAACGCUCUUCUCAAAAUCCACAGGUCCAAUCAUCUCCGCAACUCCACAGAACUGAGAGCUCGCGUUUACCUGCAGUUACAACCCCGUAAGCAAAUCUGCAGAGAGAAUACAAAUGUAGUAGACACACAGCAGAAGGAUUAGAGACUCGUACAGAGAACAGAAGAAACACUGGGCAAGCUUCUUUCUCCUCCUUGGCCUCACGGUAAGCAGCAUCAAGCUUUUUGUUGCCAUUAGGAGUGCUAGCCCAUACAUUGUAUUUGAUGCUCUUGUGUACGUUGUCUUCACUGUAGGACUUGAUUAUGAAGAGCUUAGCUUCACUGUAGUCAGUGACAAACUCAGGAUUAUUGUUGUUGUUGGAUUCCUCUUUGGGACUGUCUUUGUUAUGUUU